AUUUCACAUUCUUAAAAUAAAGUGGGAAUCCUAACUAACCUAAUACAGGUCAUUUUUACCAAGAUUAAUUGUCAGGAAUUGUGAGAAACUUAGUUUAAAUGUAUUUGGCUCAGGUGUUUGUAAACUUCAGACUUCAACUGUAUGUCUAAACAUUGGACCCAAUUACUUUAUCUGUGAUGGCAAAUGUAUCAUGUAAUGCUGUUUAUGUGUAACAUUGCGGUCUGGAAAAAGCUCCUUCCAAUGCUUCAAAUUAUUUUCAAUGAGUAACUUCAACCUAGACACAGUCGCAAUGGAAAGAACAGGUGCAAAUACUAUCUGUACAAAUUCUAUUAGCUCAUUUAUCAGUUGUAUAUAUGCAUUGACUUCCAAACUCUCCAAAACAAUGGCAAUAUCCUUAUCAGCACAAGCAUUUGCCCAGAUUACUGUUUUAGUUUACCAUCACUUGACGUUAAUGUACUAACAUAAAUUGGGAUUGGCCGAUCUGUAACAUCUCAAGGGGCAUAAGGGAAACCAAGAAUAGCAGAAUUCACUGAGUUCAGAUCAAUCUGUCCUGACACAACAAGAUGAUUCAAAACACAUUUGAUUUCCAAUGGGGCUUCGCCCUCCAGAAUUACAUGCAUAAGGUCUUGCGGAGUUUGUUGUAUAAUAACAAAUGCUGGGAAUUCAACUAACUUGCUCUUCUAUGGAUCCCAUAUGUUGUUCUCAGGCUGUUGUGAAGCAAGUCUGUUUUUUACUUUCCUAUUUCAUCACACUGUCUGACAUGCUUCUUCAAUGUCCUUUUAGUAUAUGCAUCCUCAUUGAAGUGUGACUACAUGUCCUCAAAAGAACACACAGUGUCUGCACUUACUGUAGGCAAAGCCCACACCCUCUUUGAACCCUUCUAGUUCAUGUUGUGCCAGAGUGUGUCUAUAGAGAGAGACCAUGGCACCAUAUAUUGUUUUCUCUCCAUUAAUAGUUUGCAUUUUAACCCCACUGUACAAUGCAUCCUGGUCUUCCUUGACUCUAUUCAACAUUACAUCUACACCAGAUUGACGGAGGUCUGCUGAUCUAGCAAUGUCAAGUAGCCUGAUAGCAGCCAGUUUAGACCUGUAUUUUGGAUUUAUAUUUCCUAAGGAUUAGUACACAAUUAACAACUUGUUUUUUGAUGCAAAAGUCCUAGUGGAUUUACGAUCUCUAUUUAAUCCGUGUACAUAACAAUCUGCAAUGCAUUUGGUUUCUCUGAAAAUAAGGGAUGUGAUUUUAGAAGAGCAUCAUCAACAAUGUCAUGAAAAAAACUUUGCCUGCACAUCUGGGGUCCCUUUUCAACCAUAAACAAAAUCCUUGGGUGUGAUGAGAACUGUUUCAGACUUUUGACUAAUGGAUAAUUAAAUUAUUUGUCUUAAAAUAAAAAAUAUUUUGAUCCUCCACAUUUCAUCCUGCAUGUGGUUUAAGCGAGAGAGAGAGAGAGAGGUCAUCAAUCAUGGAGGUUGGAACACAGCAUCAUGUAUACUUAUGAUAUACAGAUUCUGCUUAUGACAUAUUAACAUAAGGACAUAAGGGAUCAACAAUAGUAAGGCAGACAACCUAGCCCUAAGAAUGAACUCAACCAUCACUGAACCACUACAAAAUGCUCUGCAUUAUGUAACUAACCAAAUACCGUGCUCUGUUCAGAAAAAGCAUCUUACCUGUGAGAGACGCUGCUUGGCUAUGGCAUUUAUCACAAAAACAGUGGCAUAUGUUGUCAGAUCCUAAAAUAAAGUUGACAUUGAAUGUAGUAUCCUGACAGAUAAUGACCAAAUGGAAUGCAAGUGCAGGCUGGACAUUACUAGUUCAUGACAAGUAUAAUGUUUGUGACAGGAGAAGUGGCUGUGAAGACUGACUAUGAAUGCUAUUAGUAUAGCCAAGUACUUAAAAAAAUAUGGUCAAUUUCAGUAGAUUACCACCUACCGAGUAACUUACUUGUUGCACUGUGACAGCUCCAUGUUGGUCAAUGCCUCUUUGCCCUUCAUCUGGGUCAGGUGUAUGGAGUUGCUGAUCAGAGAUGCUGGAGUUAGCUCGAAGCUGAUCGGGUUGAAUGUUGUCCUGUGUACCACAUAUCAAAGAAACAGAAUAUUAUUUGAAAUUGUAUUUAGUUUCACCAAUAGAGCUAUUUAAGUGUUUUAUUCCUAUUUAUCAUUGACUCUUUUCACAUUAACCCAGCUUUAGCCAUAAGAGUCAUUAUAACUCAAAUUAUCGAAUAGCCUAUGGACAUAAUGGCUUUGGUCCGUGUAUCGUCCCUUCAUUAAAUCAUUUUUUAACAUCCAGAAAACAAAAACAAAUCCUAGCUAGCUACUUACUUGUUCCGGUGGUACUUGGCUUUCCUCCGAUGGCUGUUCACCUCUUCGGGUGCCUUCAAAUAGGUGUUGAAGGUGUCUUCUCUUUACAUGAUGAUAUAGGAGUUGUACACUCUAUAUUCCUCAGUGUAUCCGAGCAACCAGAAAGCAGAGCUGUGACAUCUAUUGAUAUGGCUCAAUAACAGUUUCAAUGAAAAGUCAUAAAAAGGCAGCAGAUAACGCACCGCCAAAGCAUCUUGAAUGUUACUAAACGCAAACGCAAGUAAAACGUUCCCACUGCUUUCGAUGAAAAGGUCGGAAAGAACUGAAAAUGAUGUUCAGAAGUAUUUAUAAUACGACAAAGUAUUGGAGUAGAGAACAGCACUGGGACUUUAAACUAUACACGUAUCACUCCAUUUUACAUGUGUUCUAAUAACCGUUAAUUACAUUAACGAUCGUUAUCUAUCUUAGAUUGUAACAAACUUCGCACCGCAAAGAUGAACAUAUUUCCACAAAUAACAUUUGAGUUAAAUUAUGAAUGGUCGUCAGGAAAGGACGGUAACGUGUAGACCUACACAAAGUAGCAUUAGAAAGCUAGUGUGCAGGAAACUGUUUGUGUGGUGCUUCGCAACAGUCCAGUCCAAGUCCAUUUGUGGAACUAUGUGUGUUGGCGGAGCUUAUUACUGUUAGCUAAUAAAUGGCACUUGAAGAACUGUUGUAUAAAAGCAGUAUCACACUCGAGGUCGUGCUGUUACACUGAAUAUUAUUAUCUUCGGCACUCGGCCUGCAGCCUCGUACCUACGACCUACGAAUCACAGCCGUGCUGAUGUUCAGCACUCCCUCUUCUGUGAUAUUACUUAACUGACAUACGUUCAUCACAUUAUCUAGCUACAUAAGGGAGAACUAUACAUAAAAAGUCAAAGGUGGUCCAAAUCUUUGAGUCAUCUAACAAAACCAUGAAUGAAGAUGGAAUGGAUGACACAUAUCCUGGCAUGGAUCAUAUAUCACACGCAGUAUUAAAAGGUAAAGUUAAUUUGUUUAUACCCGUCUACCUUUCUCCUUAGCAAGCUAAAUUAAUCUAACGUUUAUUUUAAUUGGAAAGUUGGCAAACCAAGUUAACAUGCUAAUUUUAACUAGAUAGCGUUGACUGUUAGCAGUUAAUAACUGCACGAACGGCCAUUCGUUAAACACUUGAACUUUGGCUAGAUUGAUAUUGCUUUAUUGCCAGAAAUAGUAUUAAUAAGGUGUAAAUGUGUCUUAACGACUGACACGUCGAUUAUUUAGAUUCACCAUCUUUGGCGCCCUUUCUAUUGACAAUAGAAAAUAAAUAGAAAGGGCACCAAAGACGGCGAAGCUAAAUUAUCGAUGGUGUCAGUCAUUAUCUACAAUCUUAGCUAGGCAAGCAAAGAUUAACGUAAUUAACAUUUUCAAUAUGGUUGACAAUUUAGCGUUAACGUUAGUUUCAUUAGCUUGCACUAUCUUUUGGUUUAAAGUAAUUAACGUCAACAUUAAUGAUAUAAUGGUAGUAUAAUUUUGUUAGCUAACUUGGUAAAUCAUUCCUGGAAAGGGAAGACAGUAUGCUAAUGUCUCGUAACCUAUAUCAACCUGACACUUUGCGUCGAUAAACUAUGUUUUAGUUGCUAAUUUAUAACUAUUUACCAAGUGGUUAAAUGUGUUUUUCAGCUGCUAAUAUGAGCGCAGACAUGCUUCCCAGCCUCUCUAAGGAGGAUUUACGUGAUCUCUUUCCCAGGCCAGAGCACUUCAGAAGGAGAACCAUUUGGAGACUUACUCAUGGUGAAAAUGAGGGUCAAGAAUCAGACCUGUGUAGACCAGGCACCUCCUCUGGCACCUGUGAUUUCAGCCCCACUACCACCCCCUUUCCCUCCUCCUACUCCUCCAGAAAUCUGUGAAGAAGCAGCUUUUGAAAAGGAAGAGGCCACGAAGCCUUAGCUUUCAGAGCAGCCAGGAGAUGUCCACUGAUGAGACAUUGAUCUUGGAGAGAUCCCCACAAUCUAGAUGCAGCACCCCAGAGGUUGACCGGUUGGGUGAACCAGGCGAGACAUUAUAAAAUUCUACAGGAGAUGUACAAAACCAAGGCCAGACCAAACCAAGGAUGUUUCCCUGCUCCUGGACCUUGAAUUCCAAGCAACACGGGCCUUCAUCGACUCUGAUGCUACUAAGGAACAGGACAGGCCUACCAAAAUACUUCAAGCGUAUCCCUGCUUCAGAGAACUGGAUCAUGUUAUGGAUGAGCUCCGGCGGAACCUCGAUUGAGGGAACUCCCGCUUCGUACCUGAACUGAAGACCCGCUGGGGGACCUUUUACAACAAGGCACAGUUUUAUGGAGUGCUCAAAAAGGUCAUGAAGCCACCGCUGCUGGACAAAGCACUCAAUUGCCUUGAUGAAGGCUUUACCAGACACGUUCCCAUCACCUGAGGCUCCAACGAAGAAGUUACAUCCUUGAGUCUGCAGAAGACCCCAACACCUUUCUUCAGGCGAGACCACUCUUCAGCCCUGUUGUGAUUGUCUGCAAAACCAACUGCAAUCUUGGAACCAUGCCUGUGGUGACCUUCUCAAAAGAGAACAUCUAUGCCAGCGUGAUGUAUCUCAUGGCGUGUUAUUACGCCUUUCACCUCACAUAUCCUAAGUGCAUUGCGACACUCCUCUCUGUGCUGCAGACAGAAGUCUUCUCGUACCCCAUCCACGACCAGGACAUGAAUUCUUAAAAAAUGAAAGGCUAUGGCCGAGUGGAAAAGGUUCAUUACUGACUAGGGUUGCACAAUAAAAAAAUAAAAAAAUUCUGGUCCAGAUAACAGAACUGUGUGUAUCAGCCGAUCCGAUAACCUUUAGUAAAUAGGCAGGGAGUUUGUUGUUUAUUAUAAGGUUUAAAGCACUGUUACGUUUGUUAUCUUGCCAUAGGUCUUGCCUUUUCAUUUUCACAUUGACCACCAAUGGCCUUUGUUGUUGUUGUUUUUGCAUCCUUUGUUCUGCCCAUAUGCAGCCUCUGGA